rnacentral:tRNA from 1 species
GGCCCCGUAGCUCAACCGGAUAGAGCACCGGCCUUCUAAGCCGGGGGUUGGUGGUUCGAGCCCACCCGGGGUCGCCA